GUGGGGAAUUUUGGACAAUGGGGGCAACCCUGAUCCAGCCAUCCCGCGUGUGCGAUGAAGGCCUUCGGGUUGUAAAGCACUUUUGGCAGGGAAGAAAAGUUUCGGGCUAAUACCCUGGAGCGAUGACGGUACCUGCAGAAUAAGCACCGGCUAACUACGUGCCAGCAGCCGCGGUAAUACGUAGGGUGCAAGCGUUAAUCGGAAUUACUGGGCGUAAAGCGUGCGCAGGCGGUUCGGAAAGAAAGAUGUGAAAUCCCAGGGCUUAACCUUGGAACUGCAUUUUUAACUGUCGAACUCGAGUAUGUCAGAGGGGGGUAGAAUGCCACGUGUAGCAGUGAAAUGCGUAGAGAUGUGGAGGAAUACCGAUGGCGAAGGCAGCCCCCUGGGAUAAUACUGACGCUCAUGCACGAAAGCGUGGGGAGCAAACAGGAUUAGAUACCCGGGUAGUCC
rnacentral:rRNA from 1 species